UACGAAGGGGGCUAGCGUUGCUCGGAAUUACUGGGCGUAAAGGGCGCGUAGGCGGGUGUUUAAGUCAGAGGUUAAAUCCCGGGGCUCAACCUCGGAACUGCCUUUGAUACUGGGCACCUAGAGUACGGGAGAGGUGUGUGGAACUCCGAGUGUAGAGGUGAAAUUCGUAGAUAUUCGGAAGAACACCAGUGGCGAAGGCGACACACUGGCCCGUUACUGACGCUGAGGCGCGAAAGCGUGGGGAGCAAACAGG
rnacentral:rRNA from 1 species